rnacentral:rRNA from 1 species
CCCGCUGAACUUAAGCAUAUCAAUAAGCGGAGGAAAAGAAACUAACAAGGAUUCCCCUAGUAACUGCGAGUGAAGCGGGAAAAGCUCAAAUUUAAAAUCUGUCAGUCUUUGGCUGUCCGAGUUGUAAUCUAGAGAAGUGUUAUCCGCGCUGGACCGUGUACAAGUCUCCUGGAAUGGAGCGUCAUAGAGGGUGAGAAUCCCGCCUUUGACACGGACUGCCAGGGCUUUUGUGAUGCGCUCUCAAAGAGUCGAGUUGUUUGGGAAUGCAGCUCAAAAUGGGUGGUAAAUUCCAUCUAAAGCUAAAUAUUGGCGAGAGACCGAUAGCGAACAAGUACCGUGAGGGAAAGAUGAAAAGAACUUUGGAAAGAGAGUUAAACAGUACGUGAAAUUGUUGAAAGGGAAACGCUUGGAGUCAGUCGCGUUUGUUAGAACUCAGCUUGGCUUCUGCUUAGUGUACUUUCUAAUGAACGGGCCAACAUCGAUUUCAGUCAGUGGAUAAGGGUAAGAGGAAUGUGGCACCUUCGGGUGUGUUAUAGCCUCUUAUCGUAUACAUUUACUGGGAUCGAGGUCUGCAGCACUUGUGCUUAGGAUGUUGGCAUAAUGGCUUUAAUCGACCCGUCUUGAAACACGG